UAACAAGGAUUCCCCUAGUAACUGCGAGUGAAGCGGGAAAAGCUCAAAUUUAAAAUCUGGCGGCUUCGCCGUCCGAGUUGUAGUCUGGAGAAGUGCUUUCCGCGCUGGACCGUGUAAAAGUCUCUUGGAACAGAGCGUCAUAGAGGGUGAGAAUCCCGUCUUUGACACGGACCCCCAGUGCUUUGUGAUGCGCUCUCAAAGAGUCGAGUUGUUUGGGAAUGCAGCUCAAAAUGGGUGGUAAAUUCCAUCUAAAGCUAAAUAUUGGCGAGAGACCGAUAGCGAACAAGUACCGUGAGGGAAAGAUGAAAAGCACUUUGGAAAGAGAGUUAAACAGUACGUGAAAUUGCUGAAAGGGAAACGCUUGAAGUCAGUCGCGUCGCUCGGAACUCAACCUUGCUCUUGCUUGGUGUAUUUUCCGUUUGACGGGCCAGCAUCAAUUUUGACCGUCGGACAAAGGCUUGGGGAAUGUGGCAUCUUCGGAUGUGUUAUAGCCCCUUGUCACAUGCGGCGAUUGGGAUUGAGGGUUCGAGCACUUGUGCUUCGGAUGCUGGCGUAAUGGCUUUAAACGAC
rnacentral:rRNA from 1 species